ensembl:snoRNA LOC120100446 small nucleolar RNA SNORA17
UUUGCCCUCAGAAGUACUAUGUCACUUGUGUGUCAGUGGGUGGCAGAGAGGACAGAGAUUAAGCCUAUACUCAGUGUUCUGACCUAUGAACAUCUGAAAGAUUAGUAGCUUAGCAU